UAGUGAUUAAAAUCCAUGCAAAAAACCAAUCAGACUUCAGCAUUAUCAAAGAUUAAAUUUCCAUAUACUAUUUUCUCCAGUGAAGUUGCAUAUUUCUUAACACAAAUAUUAAUUCAAAGUGUUUUGGCACAUUAUCAUUUUUUAUGUUUUCGGCUGCAGAGAUGUCAAGUAAGAUUUAAGUUCUCAAUCUAAGAGAGCACACUAUUCUCAAGACAUUGUUCUGAUUUGUGUAGGAUUAGCAGGGGCAGUUCUUCAGUGCUUUGCAGGGACAGACUGCUUGCAAUCAGAAGAUGUUGCAAACGUAAAAAUUUCCCAUCUUCCAAGCUGCUACUUACCGAACACUUGUUGGCUUCUGAAGAUCACCAUCUGCCAUAAAAAACAAUUGACAUGAAAAUUUGGAAAUUGAAGGAGAACCAAGUGGCACAAGAUGAGGAAAAUAGAACUCUGCUCUUCGCAGAGUUUUUCAGUUAUCUUUGUGUUCAAGGAUGAACAAAUAUGGGAAGUUGCAUGGCUAUAUAAGGCAGCAAAAAUUGCCGAAAACUUGAACGACAUCCAAGCAAACGCCCAGAGUUUAGGAACUGAUUGAAUCAUACAAUACAUUUGGGUGGUUCAAUAGAAAUGUUGGAGCCCAGUUGAUUUUAUCAAAGGUAUAGUAACUUGAAGUGUGGGUACUAAUAAAUUUCAGUAAUUUCAUUGUGGUCACUGAUAAACUUCACUUUUGCCAUUGAGUCUGCAAUUUUUUUAAGUCUUCACUUUUCUGUCUUAAUCUAUUGAAGUCUGAAUAAAAAGCUCCCUGAGUGGACAUUUCA